UGGGGAAUAUUGGACAAUGGGCGAAAGCCUGAUCCAGCCAUGCCGCGUGUGUGAAGAAGGUCUUCGGAUUGUAAAGCACUUUAAGUUGGGAGGAAGGGCAUUAACCUAAUACGUUAGUGUUUUGACGUUACCGACAGAAUAAGCACCGGCUAACUCUGUGCCAGCAGCCGCGGUAAUACAGAGGGUGCAAGCGUUAAUCGGAAUUACUGGGCGUAAAGCGCGCGUAGGUGGUUUGUUAAGUUGGAUGUGAAAGCCCCGGGCUCAACCUGGGAACUGCAUCCAAAACUGGCAAGCUAGAGUACGGUAGAGGGUGGUGGAAUUUCCUGUGUAGCGGUGAAAUGCGUAGAUAUAGGAAGGAACACC
rnacentral:rRNA from 1 species